rnacentral:lncRNA from 10 species
UGAUGUACUGGGUAGAAAGAACUGAGGUAUGAUUUUCAACAAAAACGUAUAAGACUGCUAAAAGUCAAAAAACACAUUCUGGGACCAAGUGCAGUGGCCCAUACCUGUAAUCCCAGCACUUCAGAGGCCAAGGUGAGGGGAUCACUUGAGCCCAGAAGUUCUAGAUCAGCCUGGGCAACAUAGAGAGACCCCAUCUCUACAAAAAAUAAGAAAAAGUAGCCAGCAUGGUGGCGUGUGCCUGUAGUCCUACUUACUAGGGGACUGGGGUGGGAGGAUUGCUUGAGUACUGAAGGUUGAGGCUGCAGUGAGCCAUGAUUGUGCCGCUGCACUCCAGCUUGGGCAACAGAGUGAGACCCUAUCUGAAAAAAAAUCACAUUAUGAAGAGACAAAGCAAGCAUCAGAACCCAAUUAAAAUACAGCAGAGAUUUUAGAAUGAUUAGAUUGGGAAUUUACAAUAACUAUGAUAAUUAUGCUAAGGGCUCUAUUGGAAAAAGUAGACAACAUGCAAAAACAGAUGAGUAAUGUAUAGAAAGAUAAAAACUCUAAGAAAAAAAUAAAAAAACAAAUGCUAGGUAUCACAAACAUAGUAAUAGAAAUGAAGAAUGUCUUGAAGGGCUCAUCAACAGACUAGAGAAGACAGCAAAGAAUCAGUAAACUAGAAGAUAUGACAAUGGAAACUUCCCAAUAUGGGCUGGACAUGGUGGCUCACACCUGUAAGUCCAGCACUUUAGGGGGCCAAAAUGGGAGAAUUGCUUGAGGCAAGUGUGAGACCAGCCUGGGCAACAUAGCAAGACCUCAUCUCUGAAAAAAAAUUAUCCAGACGUGGUGCCUGAGGCAGGAGGAUUGCAUGAGCCCCAGGGUUGGAGGCUUCAGUGAGCUAUGAUCAUGCCACUGCACUCCAGCCUGGGUGACAGACUGAGACCCUGUCUCAAAAAAAUAAAUAAAUAAAUAAACGAAAGAAAGAAAAGAGGAGAGAUGAGAAGAGAUGAAAAUAAAACUUCCCAAUAGGACAAUAAAAAUUUUCUAAACUGAAAAGCAAAGAGAAAAAAAUAAUGAAACAAAAACCAAACAGAAUAUCAAGGAACUGUGGACAAUUACAAAGGUGUAACCUAUGCAUAAUGGGAGAAGAGAGAAAAAAUUGAAGGAAUAAUUGAUGGAAUAAUGGCAGAGAAUUUUCCAAAGUUAAUGGCAGAGACCAAACCACAGAUCCCAGAAGGUCAAAGAACAUCAAACGGGAUAAAUACCAAGAAAUCUACAUUUAAACUUACUAUAUUCAAACUAUAGAAAAUCAAACACAAAGAGAAACUCUUGAAAGGCGGUGAAAACAAUGGCUUACCUAUCGAAGAGCAAGAAGAGGUGUUCAAAGAAAAACACCAACAACCUAGAUUUCUUCAUCCGGUGAAGUUACCCUUCGAGAAAAGGAGAAAUAAAGACUUUUUCAGAGAAACAAAAUUGAGAGAAAUUGUCACCAGUAUAACUGCCUUGCAAUAAAUGUUAAAUGUUUUUCAAAGAAAAGAAAAAUGAUAGAGGUCAGAAACUCUAAUUUACAUUGGAGGCCAGUUCUUAUUGGUAAAAUAUUUUAGGAAACUUAAUGCUGUACCCCCUUGCCUUCCGUUCUGUUUUGGAUUAUGCUUAUUGCUUUGUUUCUCUCUCCUCCCAUUUUUAAUAUUCUUUAAGGGUUUUUCCAGCUCCUGGAUAUGAGUCUAGUGAACAAACUGCACUAAGUAUCUGCUGUUAACGCUAUGCUUGGUAAUAGGAUGAAGAAAUGUCAGUAUCCUGACAGUGGACCAUUGGGGUGUCUAGCUGCCUCUACUCCCUCUUCAUUAGGAAUAGUGUCACCCUGGUAGUGGUGAUAGUUGAGCAAGGUAUAUGGUGGGCCCCAUUUAGAGUUAUAGGGUGGGAAGGCCCCCCAUUUGAAAAGGCCAUCUUCAGUCUGAGGUGACUACAUCAAUAGGAGCAGGUUGGAUUUUUAAUCAGGUUUCCUCAAGGAUGUCUAAGGGGUCAUUCAUCCUCUGAAAACUUUUUUUUUUUUUGAGACAGGGUCUUGCUCUGUUACCCAGACUGGAAUGCAGUGGCACAAUCUCGGCUCACCUCUCGGGUCCAGGCGAUCCUCCUGCCUCAGCCUUUGUAGUAGCUGGGGCUACAGUGGUAUCCCAGCACGUCUGGCUAAUUUUUGUAUUUUUACCAUGAGGUUUCACCAUGUUGGCCAGGCUGGUCUCAAAUUCCUGGCCUUAAGUGAUCCACCGGCCUCUGCCUCCCAAAGUGUUGGAAUUACAGGCAUGAGCCACUGGGCCCAGACUUCAUCCUCUGAAAAAUCUUGAAACUGAAAAGGAUGGUCUGAAAAAAAAGCUUGGUCAUGGGGGGCCCAGAGAGUUUGUGGCUUGUCUAGCUGGGACAGAAUAGUCCUGAUGCCCUGGAUAUUGCCUUGAUAUUUUAGCCUGCAGAGUUAAGGAAAAUUUGGCCAAACUAGGUCUAAAUUCACUAAAAGUCACCAGCACUAGUUCUGCAGCUCCUUUCCAUCAC